UACGGAGGAUCCAAGCGUUAUCCGGAAUCAUUGGGUUUAAAGGGUCCGUAGGCGGGUGCGUAAGUCAGUGGUGAAAGUCUGCAGCUUAACUGUAGAACUGCCAUUGAUACUGCACACCUUGAGUAAUUAUGAAGUGGUUAGAAUAUGUAGUGUAGCGGUGAAAUGCAUAGAUAUUACAUAGAAUACCGAUUGCGAAGGCAGAUCACUAAUAAUUUACUGACGCUGAUGGACGAAAGCGUAGGUAGCGAACAGG
rnacentral:misc_RNA from 1 species